UACGGAGGGUGCGAGCGUUGUCCGGAAUCACUGGGCGUAAAGGGCGCGUAGGCGGCGCGGAUAGUCGGCGGUGAAAGCCCGGAGCUCAACUCCGGGUCGGCCGUCGAUACUUCCGGGCUUGAGCACUGUAGAGGCAGAUGGAAUUCCGGGUGUAGCGGUGGAAUGCCGUAGAGAUCCGGAAGAACACCGGUGGCGAAGGCGGUCUGCUGGGCAGUUGCUGACGCUGAUGCGCG
rnacentral:rRNA from 1 species